rfam:Dasypus novemcinctus cont2.371008, whole genome shotgun sequence.
AAGGUGGCAUAUGCUACAGCCAUGGAUUGGUUUAUUGCAGUGUGCUAUGCCUUU